GAGGAGGGGUUUCUAGUAUUUUCGCUACGGAAAUAUCUCCGAACCCAGCUUAGCUUCCUAUUGAAGUCAUUUGCCUUGCUAAUCUGUCAUUCGAGUUAUCUCUUCCCCUUAACGGAAGCUGAUUAAAAGCAGAGAGAGAGAGAGAGAGAGCAAACCAAUCCCGGCGCCAAUCAGCCUAAUUACCUCCGACUCCGACUCCGACUCCGACUCUGGGUCUCUCUCCUUCUUGCUAGCCGGAUGGAUUUUGAUUAUUGUUAUUCAGUUUGAUUUUGGUUGGAGUGGAGAAGAGAAGAUAUAUGGUUUGGCAGCUGUGUUGGUAAGUCGAUGACGGCAAUUUGUAGGCAGCAAUGGACACUUGGACCCCGAAAACCUCACCUCACCACCAGAGAGCAAUUUCGUCUAUACGGGAUGGUCCGGAAUCUCCAAAAUCUCCAAUAGCAAAGUCUCCAUCCCAGAACUCUCUUCGUUGCCAAAAGGAGGAAAAUGUUUGCUGAGUCCCAGGUGGGAAGGUCCAGUUUCCAGAAGCUUUUGGAGCCAAAGCCCCCACUCAGAGAUCUGCAAUUACUCCUUAUAGAAUUGUUCUUGGUAAUAUAAAAAGUGACAAGAUAUGUUUCCAAAUGAUACCAAACUUAGUGAGAAUGCUUGUCCUCUUUAAAUUGAGACAGUUCUCUCCCUGUUCAUUGCUUACCUCAGAUUUGUAUUAUCACUUUUCCAGCCAAGAAAAUUGGUAUCAGAGCCCAGGUAGUAGAUCUAAUUAGGUAGUGUCUAAGAGUGUUAUAUAGUCUAGUGACCAUUGCAGCUUUCGUGCUUGGGUAAUGAAUUUAACUUUCUUGAGGGUCAGUUACUAGAUUCAUGAUUUCAGUUUGAUUGAGUUAAUUUAUAUGAUUGUGUGUCAUCUGUUCAGAAUGUGAAAGUGUUGCAUAAAGACACCAUAUUAGCUUUUGAAAUCUCUAGUUAUAUCUCAGCAUAAUUUUUGGUUAUUAUUUUGAUUCAUCCUUCAAUAUUGAUUUCAGCUGAGCUGUGUUUUCUUUAAAAUUGGACAUUCCAACACUUUCUCCAAACAAGUUUCGUCCAAAACAAAAAACAUUUGAACCCACCCGUAGCUCCUUCCCAAAGAAAAGUCAGUCAGCUGGAAUUUUGCAAAAACUGCCCUGCAGCAUAGCCCUCUUCGGUAUUUCUGUUUCUCAACUUAUUGGCCUCCAAAUAUUCUGAAAUUUUGACAUAUUUCUUUUCAGUCAGUUAACAAAGGAUCUGGAAAGUUUCGUCUUAUUUCGAUGUGUAGUGAAUUUUCGGUGAUUAAGUCUGCAUUUGGAAAAGUUCCAGCACUGUAAAUGUCUCCUUUGAUUUUCACUUGAGAUUUGAACUUCCACUUGAAUUAUUUAACCUCUGGUUUUUGUGUAUAUUGAACUAUAUUUCCCAAUGCUCGUUUCGAAACUGAUUUCUUGUCAUUUGGACUUCCAAUGAAUUUUUUUGGUGGCCUUUGCUGCUGCAAUAUUUUUCUAAAACCUGGCAGUUCAGUCUAUCUGUAUCCAUCUUUUUCCUUACUUUCGAACUCCGAUUUGCUUGAAAAUUUAGUAUGUCUUUCUUUAACAUGGUUACUUUUAGUCUGGAAAGUUUCAAGUUCAUUGCUGCAGAAAUGAAGUUUUAGUAAAUCUUCAAAGUUAAGUUGUUCAUGCCUUAACUCUCCAGCCCACUUAUGUCUCCCUUUUGUUAUAACUCUAUUGAAUCAGCUUUCAGUUCUUCAUCUACAGUUUUCAAGUUCAGAUAAUGUAUUUUGUUGCUUGAUUAACAUAUAGUUUCAUUUGGUUUAAUGUUACUUUCAUUUCCUUCUUCAAAUCAAAGUCCAUCCCAAAGUACUUCAUACUUUUAGGCUAAGAUUGUAUCGAUCUUGGUCUCAUUCGGUCUUAUUCACAUUUUCUCUUACUUGAGAACCCCAUAAGUCAUACCCGGGUUUGGGGUGUGACAUGUGUAUGUUCUGUGGGUACAGCUUAUGAAGACAAGAAGACGAUUGGAGCUUCUUCUAGAGGAUCUUCCUUGUUAUUUUAGUCUAACGGAGUAUUAUGACACAUCAGAUGAAGUUAUAGAACUCCCUCCCUCCCUCUCUCUCUCUCUCUGCAGACACAAAUGUGCUGUAUCUGCAUGCAUAUAGACUUCUUAUCAAUCAUGUGGAUCUGGGAUACUAGCUGAUGGUCGGCUUGCUGAUUUGAUCUGAAGAGUUGCUACGUUUGGGAUGGUAUUAAUGAAAGCUCGACUUGUGCCAGAUGUGCUUUUAUUUUAUUGUAGAAGAAGUUGCUACCCCAGGCUGAGCUUGGCUUCCUUAACAUAGGAAGCCGCCCCUCAAGAAGAAAGAGCUCUGCUGGAAUUGGACAUCUUCGGCCAAUUCCAUGGGUGUUUGCAUGGACUCAAACCAGAUUUGUCUUCCAGCUUGGCUUGGAGUUAAACCCCUUGUUGAUCUUUUUGUGAGAGCAUCAAACACACCAGCCAUAAAGAUGUAUGAGAAGAUGAUAUAUCUUUAAGUUACUUUUGAUAUCUACUUCCAGAUUUUCACUUAUAUAAGAAAGAGAACAAACGUGUGAAGUCUGCUGCCAUGAGUUCCCUUUUAUGAACUGAAUUUUAGCACAUGUACUGAAAUAUUUAGUUAGUACUUCCUAGAUGGAAUAGAUGCUUAAACCAGGUUUUGACACUUGCAGAGUCCCAUAUUGAGUCUGUCAUUCUUGCCGCUAUGCAGACGUACUUCCUAGUUCCUAUCUCUGCCUCAUGUUUUACGUUCUCUUUUUACCAAGCUGUGUGGUUGUGACUAGGGAAAUGUUUUGUUGGCAGGCCAUCCCGUGGAUGAGAAAUUAUAAUGGUGUAUGGGUGCUAUAUUUUUACAUUUAGACUCAUGAAGAUCUAUCAGUGAUUGUCAUCCUUUCCAAAGGUUUCUUUUAGGGUAUGUUUCUGUGGAAUCUGAUAAAAGAAGAGAAUUGAUUUCAACACUCUCAAGUUCAACAAUGUGAUGCUUAGAAGCACAAAAUUGGUUCAUAGUUCAAGUGGUGACUUAGAAUGAUUUAUUGGGAAAUUCUUUACAUUCCUAGAAAGACUUUUAUUUCGAGCAGUAAAACAUUUCAAAAUUGUCAUGA